rnacentral:rRNA from 1 species
GAUGAACGCUGGCGGCGUGCCUAAUACAUGCAAGUCGAGCGAACAGACGAGGAGCUUGCUCCUCUGAUGUUAGCGGCGGACGGGUGAGUAACACGUGGAUAACCUACCUAUAAGACUGGGAUAACUUCGGGAAACCGGAGCUAAUACCGGAUAAUAUAUUGAACCGCAUGGUUCAAUAGUGAAAGACGGUUUUGCUGUCACUUAUAGAUGGAUCCGCGCCGCAUUAGCUAGUUGGUAAGGUAACGGCUUACCAAGGCAACGAUGCGUAGCCGACCUGAGAGGGUGGACCGGCCACCCGGAACUGAGACACGGUCCAGACUCCUACGGGAGGCAGCAGUAGGGAAUCUUCCGCAAUGGGCGAAAGCCUGACGGAGCAACGCCGCGUGAGUGAUGAAGGUCUUCGGAUCGUAAAACUCUGUUAUUAGGGAAGAACAAAUGUGUAAGUAACUAUGCACGUCUUGACGGUACCUAAUCAGAAAGCCACGGCUAACUACGUG